rnacentral:rRNA from 1 species
GACGAACGCUGGCGGCGUGCUUAACACAUGCAAGUCGAACGGAAAGGCCCUGCUUUUGUGGGGUGCUCGAGUGGCGAACGGGUGAGUAACACGUGAGUAACCUGCCCUUGACUUUGGGAUAACUUCAGGAAACUGGGGCUAAUACCGGAUAGGAGCUCCUGCUGCAUGGUGGGGGUUGGAAAGUUUCGGCGGUUGGGGAUGGACUCGCGGCUUAUCAGCUUGUUGGUGGGGUAGUGGCUUACCAAGGCUUUGACGGGUAGCCGGCCUGAGAGGGUGACCGGCCACAUUGGGACUGAGAUACGGCCCAGACUCCUACGGGAGGCAGCAGUGGUGAAUAUUGCACAAUGGGCGGAAGCCUGAUGCAGCAACGCCGCGUGCGGGAUGACGGCCUUCGGGUUGUAUACCGCUUUCGCCUGUGACGAAGCGUGAGUGACGGUAAUGGGUAAAGAAGCACCGGCUAACUACGUG